GAUGAAGAACGUAGCGAAAUGCGAUAAGUAGUGUGAAUUGCAGAAUUUAGUGAAUCAUCGAAUCUUUGAACGCACAUUGCGCCCUAUAGUAUUCUGUAGGGCAUGUCUGUUCGAGCGUUAUUGAGACCUCAAGCUCUGCUUGGAAAUGGGCGCUUGUCUUGCCUUGCAGACUCGCCUUAAAACCAUUGGCAGCUGAUUUACAAUGUUUGGUGCACAGUACAUGAGCCCAAGUGUUGCAAUGAGUGGCCCAAAAGUAUACAAUAGAAGCUUAACCUCGGAUCAGGUAGGGAUACCCGCUGAACUUAAGCAUAUCAAUAAGCGGAGGA
rnacentral:misc_RNA from 1 species